UACAGAGGUCCCAAGCGUUGUUCGGAUUCAUUGGGCGUAAAGGGCGCGUAGGUGGCGCCGUAAGUCAGGUGUGAAAUCUCGGGGCUUAACUCCGAAACUGCAUUUGAUACUGCGGUGCUUGAGGACUGGAGAGGAGACUGGAAUUUACGGUGUAGCAGUGAAAUGCGUAGAGAUCGUAAGGAAGACCAGUGGCGAAGGCGGGUCUCUGGACAGUUCCUGACACUGAGGCACGAAGGCCAGGGGAGCAAACGGG
rnacentral:rRNA from 1 species